rnacentral:rRNA from 1 species
GCGUUAUCCGGAUUUAUUGGGUUUAAAGGGUGCGUAGGCGGCCCGUUAAGUCAGGGGUGAAAGACGGUGGCUCAACCAUCGCAGUGCCUUUGAUACUGACGAGCUUGAAUACACUAGAGGUAGGCGGAAUGUGACAAGUAGCGGUGAAAUGCAUAGAUAUGUCACAGAGCACCGAUUGCGAAGGCAGCUUACCAUGGUGCAAUUGACGCUGAGGCACGAAAGCGUG